rnacentral:tRNA from 2 species
AACUUUAUAGUUUAAAUAAAAAUAUCAAAUUGCAAAUUUGAGGUUAUAUUAAUAAUAUUAAAGUUU